rnacentral:rRNA from 1 species
GUGGGGAAUAUUGGACAAUGGGCGCAAGCCUGAUCCAGCCAUACCGCGUGGGUGAAGAAGGCCUUCGGGUUGUAAAGCCCUUUUGUUGGGAAAGAAAUCCUGUCGGUUAAUACCUGGCGGGGAUGACGGUACCCAAAGAAUAAGCACCGGCUAACUUCGUGCCAGCAGCCGCGGUAAUACGAAGGGUGCAAGCGUUACUCGGAAUUACUGGGCGUAAAGCGUGCGUAGGUGGUGGUUUAAGUCCGUUGUGAAAGCCCUGGGCUCAACCUGGGAAUUGCAGUGGAUACUGGAUCACUAGAGUGUGGUAGAGGGAUGCGGAAUUUCUGGUGUAGCAGUGAAAUGCGUAGAGAUCAGAAGGAACAUCCGUGGCGAAGGCGGCAUCCUGGGCCAACACUGACACUGAGGCACGAAAGCGUGGGGAGCAAACAGGAUUAGAAACCCGAGUAGUCC